rnacentral:rRNA from 1 species
UGGGGAAUAUUGGACAAUGGGCGCAAGCCAGAUCCAGCCAUGCCGCGUGAGUGAUGAAGGCCCUAGGGUUGUAAAGCUCUUUCACCGGUGAAGAUAAUGACGGUAACCGGAGAAGAAGCCCCGGCUAACUUCGUGCCAGCAGCCGCGGUAAUACGAAGGGGGCUAGCGUUGUUCGGAUUUACUGGGCGUAAAGCGCACGUAGGCGGACUUUUAAGUCAGGGGUGAAAUCCCGGGGCUCAACCCCGGAACUGCCUUUGAUACUGGAAGUCUUGAGUAUGGUAGAGGUGAGUGGAAUUCCGAGUGUAGAGGUGAAAUUCGUAGAUAUUCGGAGGAACACCAGUGGCGAAGGCGGCUCACUGGACCAUUACUGACGCUGAGGUGCGAAAGCGUGGGGAGCAAACAGG